rnacentral:rRNA from 1 species
GAUGAACGCUGGCGGCGUGCCUAAUACAUGCAAGUCGAGCGAACGGACGAGAAGCUUGCUUCUCUGAUGUUAGCGGCGGACGGGUGAGUAACACGUGGAUAACCUACCUAUAAGACUGGGAUAACUUCGGGAAACCGGAGCUAAUACCGGAUAAUAUUUUGAACCGCAUGGUUCAAAAGUGAAAGACGGUCUUGCUGUCACUUAUAGAUGGAUCCGCGCUGCAUUAGCUAGUUGGUAAGGUAACGGCUUACCAAGGCAACGAUGCAUAGCCGACCUGAGAGGGUGAUCGGCCGCACUGGAACUGAGACACGGUCCAGACGCCUACGGGAGGCAGCAGUAGGGAAUCUUCCGCAAAGGGCGAAAGCCUGACGGAGCAACGCCGCGUGAGUGAUGAAGGUCUUCGGAUCGUAAAACUCUGUUAUUAGGGAAGAACAUAUGUGUAAGUAACUGUGCACAUCUUGACGGUACCUAAUCAGAAAGCCACGGCUAACUACGUG